rnacentral:rRNA from 1 species
AGUACCGUGAGGGAAAGGUGAAAUAGGACUUUUUAUAGCGUUAAAAGAUCCUAAAAUUUUGUGUUUUAUAUUAUCUGUUAAAGUAUUUGCAAUAGCGUACCUUUUGCAUAAUGGGCCAGUGAGUUUAUUAAUAUAGCAAGUUUCAAUUUUUUGUAGACAAAGGUAAUUCAAACAAUAUUUAUAUUUUGUUUUAAAAAGCUUAAAAGUUUUAUUAAUAAAACCCGAAGCUAAGUGAUCUAAUCAUGAGCAAGUUGAAAAUUUGGUGGUAACAUUGAUUGAAGGACUGCACCCGUUUCUGUAGAAAAAGACUGGGAUGACUUGUGAUUAGGGGUGAAAGGCUAAUCAAACUUAGGGAUAGCUGGUUUUCUGCGAAAUAUAUUUAAGUAUAGCCUGCAAUUUAUUUAAUUUGUGGUAAAGCACUUUUACGGUAAGGGGGGUUUCGAACUUUACUAAAUUGUAAAAAACUAAGAAUGCAUUUUAUUUUGUUGUGGAGUCAGACUAUUGGUGCAAAGGUCUAUAGUCAAGAGGGAAACAGCCCUUUUUAUUUAUUAAGGUCUUUAAUAUAAAUUCUGUGAUAAGAAUAUAAUUAAACGUUGACAGUCAUAAAAUAGGCUUGGAAGCAGCCAUUUUUUUAAGAAAGCGUAACAGCUCAUUGAUCUAGUUUUUUUGUAUCGAAAAUUUAUCGAGACUAUUAUUUAUAACCGAAAUUGUAA